rnacentral:tRNA from 1 species
UCCCUUGUAGCUCAGAUGGUAGAGUUAUCUGCCUGCAGUGCAGGAGAUCCAGGUUCAAUCCCUGGGUCAGGAA